CAUUACAGGGAUUGUGGGGAGGUGAUGGUGGAUGAAUUGCCACCCCGCUGGAAGCAAAGCAACCCCACUCCAUGGCAGCCCAAUCAACAGCCACACACGCAGUGUGGAAAUUCCGCCCCUCAUCGGGGAGGAGCUCCUGCCUUUGGGAUCUGUCUGUCAAUCCGAUUUUCUGGAAGCUCUAUCAGUACUAAGAUCGCAUUAGUGGGCGUUGCUGGCACUGCAAGCAGGCCCAAGAAGAAAGCCCAUGGAACCCAGAGCUAGAUGGAGGAGGGACAAGCGACAUUAUCAUGAGCAAUGAGGAAAUGGCAGAGACAUUGAACAAAUACUUUGUCUCUGGCUUCACAGUAGAAGACACAAAUUACAUCGCAGAAGUUGUGUGAAACCAGACAACAUCAGGUGACACCAUGGCAGGUGAUGCGCCACAUUUAAAGGGCUGCUAGGACUGCAUUUAAUGAGGACCACCUGCCGGGACAACUCAGAGGUGAAAGGAAACCUGCAGCCAGAAUGGCAGAAGAGAUACCCCAGAAAGCCCCAUCGCCUCAAGUAACUGCGACAACAGAGGAGGGUCCUGUACCUGCAUAGGAGCCCCUCACCAUGCAGGGUACCACAUGUUUUGUCACUCAAUAAAGGAUUAAUGUACUUUGCACUUAA